UACAGUCAAUUGACAAAUUGUUUUGAUGAUUUGAUGGAAAGAAUUACAUUUCUUUAAUUCAGGACACUCCUAUCCAGAGUGACUUACAGUGAAAGAGAGCAUAAGUGCAUCUCCCUUUAUGUGAGCCACAGUGUCAGACCUGGCGAACAACAGUCCCAGAUGAAUUUGUUCUGGAGAAAGCAAAGAGAAGCAUUUCUGGUCAAGCAGGAAGCAGGAAGUGGCUGGCUGAAUUAGAUACAUGCACCCAUCCUUGAACAAUAGAAAUGCGACCCGCACAGGAAAGGGAUCUGCGUCAGUGGGGACCUGCACACUUGUAAGAGGUCAAUGACUGGCCCUGAGGUGUGUCCACAAAACUAACAGGACCACACGGUCUGCAGGAUCAUAGGACUGCACCAUCCUCAGCUGCUUCUCUUUGGGGUUUAUUUAUAUAUUUAUUAUUUUUGCCUCACUUGCUGGUGUUUUGGGGGUUAAGGCUCAGGCAUUGCCAAUUCUCCUGUUUCCUUUUUUAUGUUAAGGGUCUUUGUGUCUGCGCAUGAUAAAAAUAAAAUUUACUUGAACUGAAA